rnacentral:sRNA from 12 species
CCUGGCUAUACUAUAAUAUAGCUGGGCUACAAGCCAAUUGCUUAAGGAUAAAAUCCAUAAAAUACAACUGCGACAUUAAGUAACCUUAAAAAGUGAAAUAUGAAGUAGUGGUGACAUGAAAAGUAAAUGGCUAGGCCUU